GCCAGCCAAGCGCUGUGUUUUUCCAGAUCCGCGCCGGGCCAGGGGAGCCCUGCGUGUUUGUUUGGUGGGAGUGGAUUACUGGGAAACCAGACGGAAGGGACCCUGCAAAUCGGCGUGUACUGUAUUGUUUGGGAGUCAGCAGCCUAUGAAGCAGAUGCCAGGUUCAAGAUUCAAGGAGCUCGGUGAACCCCAAACAGGAUAAACUCAAGGAAAACCAUACCUAGACUCAUAAUCAAAAUGGUGAAAAAAUCAAAGCAAGACUCUUGAAAGCAGCUGGAGGAAAAACUGCACAUCACACGCAGGGGGACACAAGUUCUAAUGCCUGCAGACUUCUUCUGGACCCACGAAGGUCAGAAGACAGUGGACUGACAUCUCUACAGUGCUGAAAGAAAGAACUGUCAACGCAGAAUUCCAUGGCCAGCAAAGAUACCCUUCAGGUGUGAAGUCAAAAUAAAGCUCUUAUCAGAUGGAGGAAAACUAAGAGAAUUUGUCAUCAGAAUAUCUUUUCUGUCGUAAACGAUGAAGGAAAUGCAUCAGAGGCUGGAGGAAAGUGACAAUAAAAGAAAACUGAGUUUUCAGGAAUGAAGAAAGAGCAACAGAAAUGGAAAUAUCCGGGUAAAUAUGAGAGACUUUUCAAGACAUUUUUAAAAGCACAUAUGACCAUUGAAAGAAAAUUUAUAACAUUAUCUGGUAGGGUUUUUAGUGUAUGAAAAUAUAAUACAAAUGACAAUUAUAACAUAAAGGUCAGUUGAAAGGAAUAGCAAAGGAAUUUAUAUAGUUGUAAAGUUUCUAUGUUUUACUUGGAUGCAAAAAAACAUAUAUAUAUAUAUAUAUAUAUUGUAAUCUCUAGAGCAACCACUAAAAGAAAUAAUACAAAGAGAUUUAGCCAAAAUGUCAAUGAUAAAUUUAUGCAGCGUACUAAAAAAUAUUUGUAUAAUCCACAAGAAGGUUGAAAAGGGGGCAAAGAAGAACAAAAAUAGAGGAGACAAAUAGAAAUCAACUAGUAAAGUGAUAGAAUCAAAUCUGACAAUGUAAAUAAGUACAUUAAAUGCAGAUGGUCUAAACAUUUCAAUCAAAAGGCAGGGACUGGUGGAGUGGAUAAAAGGCAAGGCCUUACUAUAUGCUGCCUUCAAGCAACACACUUUACAAAGAUACAAAUAGGUUUAAAA